rnacentral:rRNA from 1 species
AUAUCAGUCAUGCAUAGCAUAUCAAUAAGCGGAGGAAAAGAAACUAACAAGGAUUCCCUUAGUAACGGCGAGUGAAGCGGGAAGAGCUCAAAUUUGAAAUCUUCAAGGUUUUACCUUGACGAAUUGUAGUUUAAAGAAGUGUUUUCUGUUGAAGUUUUGGUAAAAGUUCUUUGGAAUAGGACAUCAUAGAGGGUGAGAAUCCCGUAUUUGACCAUUACUUUCAGCUUUGUGAUACACUUUCAAAGAGUCGGAUUGUUUGGGAAUGCAGUCCAAAAUGGGUGGUAAAUUACAUCUAAAGCUAAAUAUUGGCGAGAGACCGAUAGCGAACAAGUACCGUGAGGGAAAGAUGAAAAGAACUUUGAAAAGAGAGUUAAACAGUACGUGAAAUUGUCAAAAGGGAAGCGUUUGACACCAGUGUUGUUUUCUCGAAAAUCAAUUAAAAAGAGUUGGAUUUUGUGUUGUAUUGACUUUAUCAGCUUUCUUCACUCUUUUCCAGCUUUUUUUAAUGCACUUUUCGUUUAACAAGUCAACAUUCAGUUUCUUUUGUUGUAAAAAGGUCAUUGGAAGGUGGCUUUCUCUUCGGAGAAAGUGUUUAUAGCCUUUGACUCAUGCAAUCGGAGAGACUGAGGUCUGCAGCGUAGAUCCUUCGGGGUUAGAUAUACUUUGUGCUAAGUUAUAGCUUUUCAUAGACAACUUGUUGACUAUGUUUAGUCUUGUAGCUUACUCGCUUAUGCUAUUUUACCUACGCUUAGGAUGUUGAACUCUAUCACACACAG